ensembl:lncRNA
GAGGUAGGCUGGUUAAUAUAUAUACUGAACAGGGAUGGAGAGUGAGCUGGUGAGGUAGACUGGACAGGGAUGGAGAGUGAGCUGGUGAGGUAGACUGAACAGGGAUGGAGAGUGAGCUGGUGAGGUAGGCUGGACAAUAUAUAUACUGAACAGGGAUGGAGAGUGAGCUAGUGAGGUAGGCUGGACAAUACAUAUACUGAACAGGGAUGGAGAGUGAGCUGGUGAGGUAGACUGGACAAUAUAUAUACUGAACAGGGAUGGAGAGGGAGCUGGUGAGGUAGACUGCACAAUAUAUAUACUGAACAGGGAUGGAGAGUGAGCUGGUGAGGUAGGCUGGACAAUACAUAUACUGAACAGGGAUGGAGAGUGAGCUGGUGAGGUAGGCUGGUUAAUAUAUAUACUGAACAGGGAUGGAGAGUGAGCUGGUGAGGUAGACUGG